GACGGAGGAUGCAAGCGUUAUCCGGAAUGAUUGGGCGUAAAGCGUCCGCAGGUGGCAGUUCAAGUCUGCUGUCAAAAACCGGGGCUUAACUUCGGAAAGGCAGUGGAAACUGAACAGCUAGAGUAUGGUAGGGGCAGAGGGAAUUCCUGGUGUAGCGGUGAAAUGCGUAGAGAUCAGGAAGAACAUCGGUGGCGAAGGCACUCUGCUGGACCAUAACUGACACUCAGGGACGAAAGCUAGGGGAGCGAAUGGG
rnacentral:rRNA from 1 species